GCAACGUAAAGAAAAAAAAGAGAGCAGCUUGAUAAAGCUUUGGAUGACUCAACAGAAAGAUCGUGACCUGAAACACUUGUUUGUUGAUGAAAGAAGCAAAAAGUGCAGUCGCCGCUCAGCCUAGAGAUUCCGUCGAUACCUUCAGUGUAGUACUAUUAAGUAAAAGAGAAUCUCCUCUUUACACAAGGCUUCCUAUGUUAACUGCCUAAUUGAGAAAGUUUGAAAUGAAAUACAGGUUCAGAAAAAUUAUCAAAGGAAUAAUGCAGUUACCACAACGACCGAGGUUCUUUCAUUGGCCGAACGUGAACUGCAGCACAGUGUGUGAUUACCAUCAAUACAACAAACACUUGUAGUAUCACCCCCAAAAACUGUGGAAAGCUACAAGAAUGCAAGAAGCCCAGAAACAGGACAGCUGGAACCAUUCCUGUAUUUGUGGAAAGCUACAAGAAUGCAAGAAGCCCAGAAACAGGACAGCUGGAACCAUUCCUGUAUAAUCUUAAAAUCCUAGAAGAUGCACCUGGUUUCAAAGAGCAGAAACCUUCUAUACCACCACGAUCAGAAGGAAGCACAUAAAUGUGUCCCCUGGACUGGAAGAACAAGAAUUGCCUGAAUGGAACAUAAGAUCUUGAUAAGAGGAAAGUGUAGUAUUACAAGUUUACUAAUCAAUAUUGAUGUACACUUUUCACAAUUUGUACAAUACCCACAUAUUUUCAUUAACUAGAGCAUUUUUUCUUCUGCUAGGUGCACAGCCUGUAAACAGAAGGAAAAUGAAAGGCACCUACAUGGAUGAUCCAAGCAAAAACCACACUUUCAGUCAAGAUGCACUCGAAGGAAGUGGAAGCUACAACCUAUUCACUACCACCUAUCUUAUCAGCAUAAACACAAUGAAAGAAGCUCACCACUCAAACUGGAGACUGAAACUAGCAGCGGCCUUUACAGGGUGUAAGAGAGGGCACUAACUGCUGCAGAUAGAUGAAUCUUACAAAUCCAGUACUCACAUAUGAGAAGUUGAAUUGCUAUUAGUUCUCAAUCCAAAGGAGUAUCAUCGAAGCCUGUACUGUACUUUCUAAAGGAAACCUAUUCCAAGUCUUCAAAGCACCAUGCCUGCAGCAAGGAACAUGCAACCCAAAAAACAUUGUAACAUACAACAAGUUAACUCCAGUAGUAGUAUUUCCUUCAAAUAGAACCUUAGAGAUUACUUAACUAUAUGCCCUAGAGCAUGUAGAAAGAGCCAAUAAUGACAGCAGCAUCCUGUAGUAACAGGAAGACUUCUUGAUAAAUCACAAGCCAUGUACAAAGCAGUUGCUCCAAAAUUUUGCUAUAUUAAUCUAUUCACAGCAAGAAAUCGAUGGCAGAAGGUGCAAAUUUCACAUGGAAAAAACUGAGAAUGAAGGCCAAAUAUGACCAAAUAAGGAGACCUCCCAAUCUUGCUCCCUGAAAUACGGCUUUCAGAUGUCAUCUACAUGCGGUGAGGAUCACAUGUCCAGACGAGACCAGGGACGGAUUAAAACUAUCCAUUAAUUGCUAAACCUUCGAAGUACAUUAUGCCAGCAAAGAAGCAAUGUAUGAAAAAUAAUUUUUAACUAAAUUCACCAAAUAUAUAACAUUAAACACCAAAUAAAAUUUUA